AGAAGUAACCACGGUAAAGAUACAAAUAGUGUCCUGGGACAGAAGCCAAGCCACCUUGUUAUCUACUUUACCAGCUAAGCCCAGAGAGGGUGGAGCAGGCUCAAGGUCGGCUGCGGAGAUCCUGGCCUCAGCUUCCCAGCAGAGGGCUCUUCUGCAGAAAGUGAUCCCAGGAUAGGGGGCUGCCAUGGGAGUCAGGGAUUUGCACCCCAAAUUUCAGGUGGUAUCUGAGCUCUGUGUGUCCUUCCUACCCACCUCUCAGGUGCUACUUACAUCUGAUAAACUCAAGUGGUGGACAGAACAGAGAGGGCCUCCUCCAAGGUGACUUGCUAAGUCCUCCCCUAACGACGAAAUAGAGAAGCUUCCUGCCCCUGUUACACAUGGCCUCCUCCCGGGCCCAGCAGCUCACCUGGACCACGGAAAGCACAGAAAGAACUGGCUGAAUGAAUCAAGAGAUCAAGUGUUCUCCCUGAGGCCCUGUAACAGCUCUGCAGCUGACUGCCCAGAAGGAAGCAGAAAUGUGAGUUCCCUGAAGGCAAGACCCUGUUGGAUCUCACAGCACCAAGCACUAGAUCUGGCAUGAGUUAGUCA
rnacentral:lncRNA from 1 species